rnacentral:sRNA from 1 species
GCCAGACGCGGUGGCCCAUGCCUGUAAUCCCAGCAGCUCGGGAGGCUGAGACAGGAGAAUCACGAGUUCAAAGCCAGCUUCAGCAAUGGCAAGAUGCCAAGCAACUCAGUGAGAUUCUGUCUCUA